rnacentral:rRNA from 1 species
UACGUAGGGGGCUAGCGUUGUCCGGAAUCAUUGGGCGUAAAGAGCGUGUAGGCGGCCAGAUAAGUCCGCUGUGAAAACUCGAGGCUCAACUUCGAGCUGUCGGUGGAAACUAUUUGGCUAGAGUCCGGAAGAGGAGAGUGGAAUUCCUGGUGUAGCGGUGAAAUGCGCAGAUAUCAGGAAGAACGCCCGUGGCGAAGGCGGCUCUCUGGUACGGAACUGACGCUGAGACGCGAAAGCGUGGGGAGCGAACAGG